CAGGGAUUGCCCUAGUAACGGCGAGUGAAGCGGCAACAGCUCAAAUUUGAAAUCUGGCUCUCGGGCCCGAGUUGUAAUUUGUAGAGGAUACUUUUGAUGCGGUGCCUUCCGAGUUUCCUGGAACGGGACGCCAUAGAGGGUGAGAGCCCCGUCUGGUUGGAUGCCAAAUCUCUGUAAAGUUCCUUCAACGAGUCGAGUAGUUUGGGAAUGCUGCUCUAAAUGGGAGGUAUAUGUCUUCUAAAGCUAAAUACCGGCCAGAGACCGAUAGCGCACAAGUAGAGUGAUCGAAAGAUGAAAAGCACUUUGAAAAGAGAGUUAAAAAGUACGUGAAAUUGUUGAAAGGGAAGCGUUUAUGACCAGACUUGGGCUUGGUUAAUCAUCUGGGGUUCUCCCCAGUGCACUUUUCCAGUCCAGGCCAGCAUCAGUUUUCCCCGGGGGAUAAAGGCGGCGGGAAUGUGGCUCUCUUCGGGGAGUGUUAUAGCCCGUCGUGUAAUACCCUGGGGGGGACUGAGGUUCGCGCAUCUGCAAGGAUGCUGGCGUAAUGGUCAUCAACGACCCGUCUUGAAACACGGACCAAGGAGUCGUCUUCGUAUGCGAGUGUUCGGGUGUCAAACCCCUACGCGUAAUGAAAGUGAACGCAGGUGAGAGCUUCGGCGCAUCAUCGACCGAUCCUGAUGUUCUCGGAUGGAUUUGAGUAAGAGCAUACGGGGCCGGACCCGAAAGAAGGUGAACUAUGCCUGUAUAGGGUGAAGCCAGAGGAAACUCUGGUGGAGGCUCGCAGCGGUUCUGACGUGCAAAUCGAUCGUCAAAUAUGGGCAUGGGGGCGAAAGACUAAUCG
rnacentral:rRNA from 1 species